UACAGAGGUCUCAAGCGUUGUUCGGAUUCAUUGGGCGUAAAGGGUGCGUAGGUGGCGCGUUAAGUCAGGUGUGAAAUUUCGGAGCUUAACUCCGAAACUGCAUUUGAUACUGGCGUGCUUGAGGACUGGAGAGGAGACUGGAAUUCAUGGUGUAGCAGUGAAAUGCGUAGAGAUCAUGAGGAAGACCAGUGGCGAAGGCGGGUCUCUGGACAGUUCCUGACACUGAGGCACGAAGACCAGGGGAGCAAACGGG
rnacentral:rRNA from 1 species